rnacentral:rRNA from 1 species
AUGAAGGACGUUACUAACGACGAUAUGCUUUGGGGAGCUGUAAGUAAGCUUUGAUCCAGAGAUUUCCGAAUGGGGAAACCCAGCAUGAGUUAUGUCAUGUUAUCGAUAUGUGAAUACAUAGCAUAUCAGAAGGCACACCCGGAGAACUGAAACAUCUUAGUACCCGGAGGAAGAGAAAGAAAAUUCGAUUCCCUUAGUAGCGGCGAGCGAAACGGGAAGAGCCCAAACCAACAAGCUUGCUUGUUGGGGUUGUAGGACACUCUAUACGGAGUUACAAAGGACGACAUUAGACGAAUCAUCUGGAAAGAUGAAUCAAAGAAGGUAAUAAUCCUGUAGUCGAAAAUGUUGUCUCUCUUGAGUGGAUCCUGAGUACGACGGAGCACGUGAAAUUCCGUCGGAAUCUGGGAGGACCAUCUCCUAAGGCUAAAUACUCUCUAGUGACCGAUAGUGAACCAGUACCGUGAGGGAAAGGUGAAAAGCACCCCGGAAGGGGAGUGAAAUAGAACCUGAAACCGUGUGCUUACAAGUAGUCAGAGCCCGUUAAUGGGUGAUGGCGUGCCUUUUGUAGAAUGAACCGGCGAGUUACGAUUUGAUGCAAGGUUAAGCAGUAAAUGUGGAGCCGUAGCGAAAGCGAGUCUGAAUAGGGCGUUUAGUAUUUGGUCGUAGACCCGAAACCAGGUGAUCUACCCUUGGUCAGGUUGAAGUUCAGGUAACACUGAAUGGAGGACCGAACCGACUUACGUUGAAAAGUGAGCGGAUGAACUGAGGGUAGCGGAGAAAUUCCAAUCGAACCUGGAGAUAGCUGGUUCUCUCCGAAAUAGCUUUAGGGCUAGCCUCAAGUGAUGAUUAUUGGAGGUAGAGCACUGUUUGGACGAGGGGCCCCUCUCGGGUUACCGAAUUCAGACAAACUCCGAAUGCCAAUUAAUUUAACUUGGGAGUCAGAACAUGGGUGAUAAGGUCCGUGUUCGAAAGGGAAACAGCCCAGACCACCAGCUAAGGUCCCAAAAUAUAUGUUAAGUGGAAAAGGAUGUGGCGUUGCCCAGACAACUAGGAUGUUGGCUUAGAAGCAGCCAUCAUUUAAAGAGUGCGUAAUAGCUCACUAGUCGAGUGACACUGCGCCGAAAAUGUACCGGGGCUAAACAUAUUACCGAAGCUGUGGAUUGUCCUUUGGACAAUGGUAGGAGAGCGUUCUAAGGGCGUUGAAGCAUGAUCGUAAGGACAUGUGGAGCGCUUAGAAGUGAGAAUGCCGGUGUGAGUAGCGAAAGACGGGUGAGAAUCCCGUCCACCGAUUGACUAAGGUUUCCAGAGGAAGGCUCGUCCGCUCUGGGUUAGUCGGGUCCUAAGCUGAGGCCGACAGGCGUAGGCGAUGGAUAACAGGUUGAUAUUCCUGUACCACCUAUAAUCGUUUUAAUCGAUGGGGGGACGCAGUAGGAUAGGCGAAGCGUGCGAUUGGAUUGCACGUCUAAGCAGUAAGGCUGAGUAUUAGGCAAAUCCGGUACUCGUUAAGGCUGAGCUGUGAUGGGGAGAAGACAUUG